GGGGUCUGAGGCUGUCAUCCUGGCCUGGCUAUCCACCCUCACAUCAAAUUCAUCAUCGACUGCAACCUGAGAAGGUUGCAGGGAAGGUGGUUGCCAAAGCACAGAGGCUCACACAAGGAAGCAGGCUGGAAGCAGGGACACGUGGCUCUAGGGCUGGAUGGGUCAAGACCAGCCCUGCUGGAGAUGGGACAAAGUGCCCCAUGGCUCAUGGCAUGAGAUCAGCCUCCGUGCCUCGCCUGUGGCCACACGCACUGAUGGCAGAGCAGAGACAGAAACCUGGAUCCAGAAGUCCAGAGGGCUGAGAUGUGGCCAGCUUUUGAGGCUUUGGAGAAGGCAGUCUUGUUUUAACUCAGCUUGUGAUUUCAGGGCAUGUUCAAGAAGCGGUUUGCAAAUCCAGAGUGGCUUCUAACAGCACCCCGGGCCUUUGAUCUCUGACUCUUGCAGAGAAGAACUUCAGAACCUGUGAAAGCUGAGAGAAACCACCCCUGUCGCUACCUGGUGCUCACCAGCUUCACCAGCAGAGUUGCCCCAGGAGCGGUGAAACAUAUCGAGUUUUAUCUGCGGGAUGAGUGUGAAAGGACGAGAAGAACAACUUCUCAUGAAUGAAGAAUCAUCCAGCUUGGUGAUGAAAAAUAAAAAAGAAAACCAACAAAACAGGAAGGAAAACAGUGAAAACUCUGAUGCUCCUUGGGGAAUAUGAAGAGACACAGAUUUCAUUUAAGAUAACAAAAAAAAAAAAAAAAAGAGAAGAAAUAAAAACAAAAACACCACCACCACCAACAGAAAGCAGCAGAAGUACCAAGAGUCGGAUGGGUGAAUGCUGCUCUUCAGAGCAGUCCCUGCAAUGGGGACUCCCCAGCCGUGAGGUCCCCAGCUCCCGCAGCAGCUCGGCAGCUCCCUCCCCUCCUCCACUUCUGCACUACGAUUCAUAUGGUGACUGCUGCAGUAAAAUCAGGAGCAAUGAAGACUAUAUAUAAAAGGGCUGGAGUAAAGGCAAGUGGCACCUCAAUUCUACUUCUGAGUAAGCCUUUUGUUUUUAGCAAAACAGGCACAUCAGUGCUGCUCCAGCCAGCCACAGGCUCAGCUUUCCCUGUGGAAGCUGGCAAGGAGCAGCAGGUCUGAGCCUCAGAACUGCAGCGGAGAGGAGUUCCACCUCCUCCUGCUGGUGGCCAACCUUGACUGUUGGCCUUCCUCUGGGGACGGAGGCAUCCCCAUGCUCCGCUGGUCUGCCUAUAGCGAUACAGAUGGGUGACUGGUGAGACCGGGCUGGGCCAGAGCCAGAGGCAGUUGUGCUGGUACAGAGCAGCGGCCGCUGCCUGGAGUUGGGCUACUCUUCGAUUUGUUGCUUUUUUAAUUACUUUAAUUUGUAUUUAUUUGUUUCUCGGAGGUUUUUUCAACAGGAAAACUUUGAAGAAAUGUUGCUUUUCUCCCCUCUCACUGAAUAAAGUAAAAAAUAAAAAAGGAAGCCCAAACUCCAAAUGUCAGAAAGCCCUCUGCUUCUUCUGCAAAACAGAAUUCUUAUUGUCCGACAGCCCCAACUUAUUGACAGGCAGAAAAAAAGCAGGCAGACCAUAUGAUGGCAGUGGAAAAAAAAAAAAAAAGAAGAAAAAAAGGAAAAGAAAGAAAACCAGAAAGAAGAAAGACAAACAGCCUCCUACACUGGAUGCAGCUCAAUUCCCAAGAACGAUGCUGCUGCCACGAGUGGGGCUUGGGCCCUGGGUACCUGAGGUGCUGGGGAGCUGCCCUGCUGCCAUGUCCCACAACCAGCCCAUCGAUUGGAGGUGGCCCUGAUUCCCCACAUUACUCAGAAAUAAUAAAUAAAAGUUCCCCUUCCAGCAUCUAAUAGGGCGCUUCUGGUUUUGCUUCCAGCUGUUGAGGCCUACUUGGUGUUUCCUGCCCCAUGGUGGCCCAGAGGGAUGCAAGGGCAGG
rnacentral:lncRNA from 1 species